rnacentral:rRNA from 1 species
UACGUAGGGGGCAAGCGUUGUCCGGAUUUAUUGGGCGUAAAGAGCGUGUAGGCGGCUAGGUAGGUCCGUUGUGAAAACUCGAGGCUUAACCUCGAGACGUCGAUGGAAACCAUCUAGCUAGAGUCCGGAAGAGGAGAGUGGAAUUCCGCGUGUAGCAGUGAAAUGCGUAGAUAUGCGGAGGAACACCGAUGGCGAAGGCAAUCCCCUGGGCCUGCACUGACGCUCAUGCACGAAAGCGUGGGGAGCAAACAGG